GGAGCCUAAUGGAUAAGGCGCCUGACUUCUAAUCAGGCGAUUGUGGGUUUGAGUCCCACC
rfam:Corchorus olitorius cultivar O-4 contig16288, whole genome shotgun sequence.